rnacentral:rRNA from 1 species
CCGGCGCAGCUACACAUGCAGUCGAGCGCACCCUUCGGGGCGAGCGGCGGACGGGUUAGUAACGCGUGGGAACGUACCCUUUUCUACGGAAUAGCCUCGGGAAACUGAGAGUAAUACCGUAUAAGCCCUUCGGGGGAAAGAUUUAUCGGUAAAGGAUCGGCCCGCGUUAGAUUAGAUAGUUGGUGGGGUAAUGGCCUACCAAGUCUACGAUCUAUAGCUGGUUUUAGAGGAUGAUCAGCAACACUGGGACUGAGACACGGCCCAGACUCCUACGGGAGGCAGCAGUGGGGAAUCUUAGACAAUGGGCGCAAGCCUGAUCUAGCCAUGCCGCGUGUGUGAUGAAGGCCUUAGGGUCGUAAAGCACUUUCGCCAGGGAUGAUAAUGACAGUACCUGGUAAAGAAACCCCGGCUAACUCCGUGCCAGCAGCCGCGGUAAUACGGAGGGGGUUAGCGUUGUUCGGAAUUACUGGGCGUAAAGCGUACGUAGGCGGAUCAGAAAGUAGGGGGUGAAAUCCCGAGGCUCAACCUCGGAACUGCCUCCUAAACUCCUGGUCUUGAGUUCGAGAGAGGUGAGUGGAAUUCCAAGUGUAGAGGUGAAAUUCGUAGAUAU